rnacentral:rRNA from 1 species
AACGAACGCUGGCGGCGGGCUUAACACAUGCAAGUCGAGCGCCCCGCAAGGGGAGCGGCAGACGGGUGAGUAACGCGUGGGAAUCUACCCAUCUCUACGGAAUAACGCAUGGAAACGUGUGCUAAUACCGUAUACGUCCUUCGGGAGAAAGAUUUAUCGGAGAUGGAUGAGCCCGCGUUGGAUUAGCUAGUUGGUGGGGUAAAGGCCUACCAAGGCGACGAUCCAUAGCUGGUCUGAGAGGAUGAUCAGCCACACUGGGACUGGGACACGGCCCAGCCUCCUACGGGAGGCAGCAGUGGGGAAUAUUGGACAAUGGGCGCAAGCCUGAUCCAGCCAUGCCGCGUGAGUGAUGAAGGCCCUAGGGUUGUAAAGCUCUUUCACCGGUGAAGAUAAUGACGGUAACCCGAGAAGAAGCCCCGGCUAACUUCGUGCCAGCCGCCGCUGUAACAC